rnacentral:tRNA from 1 species
GCCUGGGUGGCUCAGUCGGUUAAGUGUCUGACUUUGGCUCAGGUCAUGAUCUUGUGGUUCUUGGGUUCGAGUCCCACUUUGGGCU